UACAGAGGGUGCAAGCGUUGUUCGGAAUUAUUGGGCGUAAAGAGCUCGUAGGUGGUUCGGUAAGUCGGAUGUGAAAUCUCCAGGCUCAACCUGGAGGGGUCAUUCGAUACUGCCGUGACUAGAGUUCGGUAGGGGAGUGUGGAAUUCCUGGUGGAGCGGUGAAAUGCGCAGAUAUCAGGAGGAACACCCGUAGCGAAGGCGGCACUCUGGGCCGAUACUGACACUGAGGAGCGAAAGCGUGGGGAGCGAACAGG
rnacentral:rRNA from 1 species